GUGUGCACCCCCGGGCCGGUGAGGGCCCUGUGGCAGCCCCGCAGCUCCCCUCACGGUGCGUGCGGUGUGUAUGGCAGCCGUACGGGGAGCGGCUGAGGUCAUUGGUCAGCCUGGAGGAGAAUGAGGGGAGACCUCAUCGCAGUCUGCAGCUUCCUCACGAUGAGAUGCAGAGGAGCAGACACUGAUCCCUGUGGUUAGCGGUGAUAGGACCCGUGGGAGUGGCCGGAGGUUGUGUCAGGGGAGGUUUAGGUAAGAUGUCAGGAAACCUUCGUCCAGAGGGUGGUUGGACACUGGAACAGCUUCCCGGGGAAGUGGUCACAGCACCAGCCCGAGAGAGUUCAAGAAGCGUUCGGACAACGCUCUCAGGCUCAUGGUGCAACCCUUGGGGGUGUCCUGUGCAGGGCCAGGAGUUGGACUCUAUGAUCCUCGUGGGUCUCUUCCAAUUCAGUGUACUCCGUGAAAAUCACUGCCCUCCCGCUGGGCGUUGGUAAGGGCAACCUGCCCAGGCAGGGGCUGGCACGUCGGAGCCAGGCUGGUUGAUGACCUGAGAGGAGAGCGGCGGGCAGGCCGGAGGCCGCUCUCCAGAGUCAGCGGGCCAGCUUGCAGCGGUGGAGACCGGGCGUCAAAGAAAGAGCAGCAUCAGCUCCUUGAUGUGCCCGUCUGCAGCUGAGGGUCAUAUAUAUGUAAGAUUUUUUCGAUGUUUUGGAGGAUACAGACGUGUAUAUUCAGUCAAAAAAGUGAAGGAUGCUGCAUUUUUUCACCAGACACUUGCAGCUACAUGACCUGAGCCAUGUCUUGUGAGAUUGGGAAACACUUCCUUUGAAUGCUGAGGACCUUCCUGUGUCCAUGUCUGGUCCUGGUCUAUGUGACUCUGGAAGCAAGAAUUCAGCUUCAGGCAGUGCCACUGUAGAAGUGCUAAGUGCAGAGGUGCACAGUCUUGCCAGGAGCAUCUUUCCCAUUGGUCAUGGAAGGUACCAGCUGGCACAAGUGAAUGCACUGUGGCACUAGGUCUGGUUUGAACAAAACAGGAAAUAAAUCACACAUGGUAAUAAAGCAAACAAUACUGUAAGUAGAUUCCAGAUGAUGGAGAAGCUCAGAGAAUAAAAAAGAGUGAGGUGAAUGAAAUGUCUGCUCUGAAAUGGCUGCUCAAGUCCAAGACUGAAACUCCAGUCUCACUUGCUGCCUAUAUUUAACAUCUGAAAAAUCUUACAUCGGUGAAUCUAUUGCCAGGCUUUUUUCCACUAUGAGCACAAUCUUUUGAAGAUUUAAUCACUAGUAAAAAAAAUCUCUUUCCUCUGUUGUAAUGCAGAGGAGAAAGUAAAGAAAUCCAUGCAGCAGGAAAGAGUCUGGAACACAUGGCAAGAUGUUUUACUUGUAUCACAGUAUUUUUCACUUAUUAUAGUGCCUUUGAUCCAAUGGCCUUGCAGUA